rnacentral:rRNA from 1 species
UACGAAGGGUGCAAACGUUGCUCGGAAUCAUUGGGCGUAAAGCGCACGUAGGCGGCCUCAUAAGUCGGAUGUGAAAUCCCUCGGCUCAACCGAGGACGUGCAUACGAAACUGCGAGGCUCGAGUAUGGAAGAGGGUCGCGGAAUUCCCGGUGUAGAGGUGAAAUUCGUAGAUAUCGGGAGGAACACCAGUGGCGAAGGCGGCGACCUGGGCCAAUACUGACGCUGAGGCGCGAAGGCGUGGGGAGCGAACGGG